rnacentral:lncRNA from 10 species
CCCCACUGUCCACUGGGCCUCUCUGAUCUUGUCCCUCAUGGCACUGGCUUGUACUUGUCUGUUGUUUGUCUUUCUUCCCCACUGAUGUGUGAACCCCCCAAGAGCAGGAAUCAUGUCCUAUAUACACCCUUGACUCCCCAGGUCCUAGAGAGCAUCUGAUUCAUUGCAUGGGCUUAGGGAAUAUGUCUGAAUGAAUGCAGCUGUGAAUGAGUGAAUGAAUGAAUGAGCACACUGAGCUUCUCACAGAAGCAGCUGAUCCCAAGGAUGUUGAUUGCUAGACUAGAACUUUCUCUUCCAUGUACCCUGUCCCUCCUUUCCUUACUCUCUCUGACCUGGCCUUUCUCUCCCUACAGUUGCCCCCAAAGGACCCAAAAUUGUGAUGACGCCCAGCAGAGCCCGGGUAGGGGACACAGUGAGGAUUCUGGUCCAUGGGUUUCAGAACGAAGUCUUCCCGGAGCCCAUGUUCACGUGGACGCGGGUUGGGAGCCGCCUCCUGGACGGCAGCGCUGAGUUCGACGGGAAGGAGCUGGUGCUGGAGCGGGUUCCCGCCGAGCUCAAUG